rnacentral:rRNA from 1 species
CUACGGGUGGCUGCAGUGAGGAAUAUUGGUCAAUGGACGAAAGUCUGAACCAGCCAUGCCGCGUGCAGGAAGACGGCCCUACGGGUUGUAAACUGCUUUUGUAUAGGAAUAAACCCCCGCUCGUGAGCGGGGCUGAAGGUACUAUACGAAUAAGCACCGGCUAACUCCGUGCCAGCAGCCGCGGUAAUACGGAGGGUGCAAGCGUUAUCCGGAUUCAUUGGGUUUAAAGGGUGCGUAGGCGGGACAUUAAGUCAGUGGUGAAAUCUCUCAGCUCUACUGAGAAACUGCCAUUGAUACUGAUGUUCUUGAAUUUAGUUGAAGUAGGCGGAAUGAGGCAUGUAGCGGUGAAAUGCAUAGAUAUGCCUCAGAACACCGAUCGCGAAGGCAGCUUACUAAACUAACAUUGACGCUGAGGCACGAAAGCGUGGGGAGCAAACAGGAUUAGAUACCCCCGUAGUC